rnacentral:rRNA from 1 species
GAUGAACGCUGGCGGCGUGCUUAACACAUGCAAGUCGAACGGGAAACCUUUUAUUGAAGCUUCGGCAGAUUUAGCUGGUUUCUAGUGGCGGACGGGUGAGUAACGCGUGGGUAACCUGCCUUAUACAGGGGGAUAACAACCAGAAAUGGUUGCUAAUACCGCAUAAGCGCACAGGACCGCAUGGUCCGGUGUGAAAAACUCCGAUGGUAUAAGAUGGACCCGCGUUGGAUUAGCUAGUUGGCAGGGUAACGGCCUACCAAGGCGACGAUCCAUAGCCGGCCUGAGAGGGUGAACGGCCACAUUGGGACUGAGACACGGCCCAGACUCCUACGGGAGGCAGCAGUGGGGAAUAUUGCACAAUGGGGGAAACCCUGAUGCAGCGACGCCGCGUGAAGGAAGAAGUAUCUCGGUAUGUAAACUUCUAUCAGCAGGGAAGAUAGUGACGGUACCUGACUAAGAAGCCCCGGCUAACUACGUG